AUGAAGGAUCAAGGGCUCAUUCAUGGUACCUUGAAGCAUAAAUAAGAUUCCUCCAUAUCAACCAACUUGAUCAUUUGACACAUGGAUGAAGCUUUAUUUGUGUACAUGCUAACUCGUGGUUUCAUUUGUUCCAUUCUGUUUCUAUUGUUAUACUAACCCUCUAACCAUUUUACUAACUUGUUCAUAUUGUAAAUUGAUCAUAAUAUAACUUGUCUAACCUAAUCAUUAAUCAACUUAUUAACCUUUA
rnacentral:lncRNA from 1 species